rnacentral:rRNA from 1 species
UACGAAGGGGGCUAGCGUUGCUCGGAAUUACUGGGCGUAAAGCGCACGUAGGCGGCUUCUUAAGUCGGUGGUGAAAUCCUGGAGCUCAACUCCAGAACUGCCUUCGAUACUGAGAAGCUUGAGUCCGGGAGAGGUGAGUGGAACUGCGAGUGUAGAGGUGAAAUUCGUAGAUAUUCGCAAGAACACCAGUGGCGAAGGCGGCUCACUGGCCCGGUACUGACGCUGAGGUGCGAAAGCGUGGGGAGCAAACAGG